CCUACGGGAGGCAGCAGUGGGGAAUUUUGGACAAUGGGCGCAAGCCUGAUCCAGCAAUGCCGCGUGAGUGAAGAAGGCCUUCGGGUUGUAAAGCUCUUUUGUCAGGGAAGAAACGGUGGGGGCUAAUAUCCUCCACUAAUGACGGUACCUGAAGAAUAAGCACCGGCUAACUACGUGCCAGCAGCCGCGGUAAUACGUAGGGUGCAAGCGUUAAUCGGAAUUACUGGGCGUAAAGCGUGCGCAGGCGGUUUUGUAAGUUUGUCGUGAAAUCCCCGGGCUCAACCUGGGAAUGGCGAUGAAGACUGCAAGGCUAGAAUCUGGCAGAGGGGGGUAGAAUUCCACGUGUAGCAGUGAAAUGCGUAGAGAUGUGGAGGAACACCGAUGGCGAAGGCAGCCCCCUGGGUCAAGAUUGACGCUCAUGCACGAAAGCGUGGGGAGCAAACAGGAUUAGAUACCCUGGUAGUCCACGCCCUAAACGAUGUCUACUAGUUGUCGGGUUUUAAUAACUUGGUAACGCAGCUACGCGUGAGUAGACGCCGUGGAGGUACGGUCGCGAAGUAGUAAACGUUACGAAGUAAGUUAGUUAGCGNGAGACGNGCGACGGACGACGACGAGGGAGGAGG
rnacentral:rRNA from 1 species